GGGGAUUUAGCUCAGUGGUAGAGCGCUUGCCUAGGAAGCGCAAGGUCCUGGGUUCGAUCCCCAGCUCCG
rnacentral:tRNA from 1 species